rnacentral:rRNA from 1 species
UCAGGACGAACGCUGGCGGCGUGCUUAACACAUGCAAGUCGAACGGUGAUGCCCAGCUUGCUGGGCGGAUCAGUGGCGAACGGGUGAGUAACACGUGAGUAACCUGCCCCAGACUCCGGGAUAAGCCUUGGAAACGAGGUCUAAUACUGGAUACGAGACGCCCCUGCAUGGGGAGUGUCUGGAAAGAUUUAUCGGUCUGGGAUGGACUCGCGGCCUAUCAGCUUGUUGGUGGGGUAAUGGCCUACCAAGGCGACGACGGGUAGCCGGCCUGAGAGGGCGACCGGCCACACUGGGACUGAGACACGGCCCAGACUCCUACGGGAGGCAGCAGUGGGGAAUAUUGCACAAUGGGCGAAAGCCUGAUGCAGCGACGCCGCGUGAGGGAUGAAGGCCUUCGGGUUGUAAACCUCUUUCAGCAGGGAAGAAGCGCAAGUGACGGUACCUGCAGAAGAAGCGCCGGCUAACUACGUGCCAGCAGCCGCGGUAAUACGUAGGGCGCAAGCGUUGUCCGGAAUUAUUGGGCGUAAAGAGCUCGUAGGCGGUUUGUCGCGUCUGGUGUGAAAACUCAAGGCUCAACCUUGAGCUUGCAUCGGGUACGGGCAGACUAGAGUGCGGUAGGGGUGACUGGAAUUCCUGGUGUAGCGGUGGAAUGCGCAGAUAUCAGGAGGAACACCGAUGGCGAAGGCAGGUCACUGGGCCGCAAC